rnacentral:lncRNA from 1 species
UUCUGUAGGAAAGCAGAGCCUGCCUUGCAGCCACCCUACUGGCAGACAUGUCAACAGGAAGAGUGAGAAGUGAGCAAUGCCUCCUGAGCUGAUGCCUACAGAGAAGCUGUGACAAUCUGCCUCUAGAACAAUCUCAGCAAGCUGCCUGGCCCAGGGGAAAUCCAACCAUGAUGACUUGGCCCAGACUCUGCAAGAUACUUUCAAAUUGUUGGUGUUCACAAGGGACAAGCAACAGCUGAGCUCAUUCCCUUUCUAUCAGUUUGCAACAUCUGCCCCAGCCCUUACUGACAGUAGAGAAAAAUAAGGACUUUCCAAACACGCCUUUAGGCCACCAAACUUCACUGAGUUACUGGUCCAUUCCAGAAACCAGAUGUUUUACCUGGUCCCUGCACUGGCCAACAGCUUUGGAGUAUGGGUGCUGUCUCCUGGGAAAGACUGUGGGCUCCUUGAGGGCCCUGCCUUUUUGUUCUGUGUAGCCCCGGCACAUAGUAGAGCACGACACACACCCCGAGAGGCAGGUAUCAUGAUCCCUUCUUUAUAGAGGAUAUCGAGUCCACAUGCCUUGAAGACCACCAUGGGCCAUCUUUAGCCAGGAAGCCACCAGUCCCAGUCUCUCCCUGGACUCUUCACCGGAAAUACAAAUGCUUUUUGA